GAUGAACGCUGGCGGCGUGCCUAAUACAUGCAAGUCGAGCGAACGGACGAGAAGCUUGCUUCUCUGAUGUUAGCGGCGGACGGGUGAGUAACACGUGGAUAACCUACCUAUAAGACUGGGAUAACUUCGGGAAACCGUAGCUAAUACCGGAUAAUAUUUUGAACCGCAUGGUUCAAAAGUGAAAGACGGUCUUGCUGUCACUUAUAGAUGGAUCCGCGCUGCAUUAGCUAGUUGGUAAGGUAACGGCUUACCAAGGCAACGAUGCAUAGCCGACCUGAGAGGGUGAUCGGCCACACUUGAACUGAGACACGGUCCAGACUCCUACGGGAGGCAGCAGUAGGGAAUCUUCCGCAAUGGGCGAAAGCCUGACGGAGCAACGCCGCGUGAGUGAUGAAGGUCUUCGGAUCGUAAAACUCUGUUAUUAGGGAAGAACAUAUGUGUAAGUAACUGUGCACAUCUUGACGGUACCUAAUCAGAAAGCCACGGCUAACUACGUG
rnacentral:rRNA from 1 species